GUGAAGACAAAGGGGUGCUGUUAUGCCCUUACGGCAACGGCUGAGAUUAUACCCUUACGACCUGACGCAGUUAAUGCUGCCGUAGGCAUUGUGUGACCCAUUUCU
rnacentral:ncRNA from 2 species